GUGCCAGCCGCCGCGGUAAUACGUAGGGUCCAAGCGUUAUCCGGAAUUACUGGGCGUAAAGAGUUGCGUAGGUGGCAUUGUAAGUUGGUAGUGAAAGCGUUCGGCUCAACCGAAUAUACAUUAUCAAAACUGCAAAGCUAGAGGAUGAGAGAGGUUAUUGGAAUUGCUAGUGUAGGAGUGAAAUCCGUAGAUAUUAGCAGGAACACCGAUGGCGUAGGCAGAUAACUGGCUCAUUCCUGACACUAAGGCACGAAAGCGUGGGGAGCGAACGGGAUUAGAUACCCUCGUAGUCC
rnacentral:rRNA from 1 species